GCAGUCGAACGCUUUGUCUUUAAUUGAUCUGACGAGCUUGCUCUGAUUUGAUUUUAUCUGACAAAGAGUGGCGAACGGGUGAGUAACACGUGGGUAACCUACCUCUUAGCAGGGGAUAACAUUUGGAAACAAGUGCUAAUACCGUAUAAUACCAACAACCGCAUGGUUGUUGGUUGAAAGAUGGUUCUGCUAUCACUAAGAGAUGGACCCGCGGUGCAUUAGCUAGUUGGUAAGGUAACGGCUUACCAAGGCAAUGAUGCAUAGCCGAGUUGAGAGACUGAUCGGCCACAAUGGGACUGAGACACGGCCCAUACUCCUACGGGAGGCAGCAGUAGGGAAUCUUCCACAAUGGGCGCAAGCCUGAUGGAGCAACGCCGCGUGUGUGAUGAAGGGUUUCGGCUCGUAAAACACUGUUAUAAGAGAAGAACGGCACUGAGAGUAACUGUUCAGUGUGUGACGGUAUCUUACCAGAAAGGAACGGCUAAAUACGUGCCAGCAGCCGCGGUAAUACGUAUGUUCCAAGCGUUAUCCGGAUUUAUUGGGCGUAAAGCGAGCGCAGACGGUUAUUUAAGUCUGAAGUGAAAGCCCUCAGCUCAACUGAGGAAUGGCUUUGGAAACUGGAUGACUUGAGUGCAGUAGAGGAAAGUGGAACUCCAUGUGUAGCGGUGAAAUGCGUAGAUAUAUGGAAGAACACCAGUGGCGAAGGCGGCUUUCUGGACUGUAACUGACGUUGAGGCUCGAAAGUGUGGGUAGCAAACAGGAUUAGAUACCCUGGUAGUCCACACCGUAAACGAUGAGUGCUAGAUGUUCGAGGGU
rnacentral:rRNA from 1 species